rnacentral:rRNA from 1 species
CAAUAGCGUAUAUUAAAGUUGUUGCAGUUAAAAAGCUCGUAGUUGAACCUUGGGCCUGGCUGGCCGGUCUGCCUCACCGCAUGCACUGGUCCGGCCGGGCCUUUCCCUCUGGGGAGCCGCAUGCCCUUCACUGGGUGUGUCGGGGAACCAGGACUUUUACUGUGAAAAAAUUAGAGUGUUCAAAGCAGGCCUAUGCUCGAAUACAUUAGCAUGGAAUAAUAGAAUAGGACGUCGCGGUUCUAUUUUGUUGGUUUCUAGGACCGCCGUAAUGAUUAAUAGGGACAGUCGGGGGCAUCAGUAUUCAAUCGUCAGAGGUGAAAUUCUUGGAUCGAUUGAAGACUAACUACUGCGAAAGCAUUUGCCAAGGAUGUUUUCAUUAA